rnacentral:rRNA from 1 species
UGUGCCUAAUACAUGCAAGUCGAACGCGUUGGCCCAAUUGAUUGAUGGUGCUUGCACCUGAUUGAUUUUGGUCGCCAACGAGUGGCGGACGGGUGAGUAACACGUAGGUAACCUGCCCAGAAGCGGGGGACAACAUUUGGAAACAGAUGCUAAUACCGCAUAACAACGUUGUUCGCAUGAACAACGCUUAAAAGAUGGCUUCUCGCUAUCACUUCUGGAUGGACCUGCGGUGCAUUAGCUUGUUGGUGGGGUAAUGGCCUACCAAGGCGAUGAUGCAUAGCCGAGUUGAGAGACUGAUCGGCCACAAUGGGACUGAGACACGGCCCAUACUCCUACGGGAGGCAGCAGUAGGGAAUCUUCCACAAUGGGCGCAAGCCUGAUGGAGCAACACCGCGUGAGUGAAGAAGGGUUUCGGCUCGUAAAGCUCUGUUGUUAAAGAAGAACACGUAUGAGAGUAACUGUUCAUACGUUGACGGUAUUUAACCAGAAAGUCACGGCUAACUACGUGCCAGCAGCCGCGGUAAUACGUAGGUGGCAAGCGUUAUCCGGAUUUAUUGGGCGUAAAGAGAGUGCAGGCGGUUUUCUAACUCUGAUGUGAAAGCCUUCGGCUUAACCGGAGAAGUGCAUCGGAAACUGGCACACUUUAGUGCGAAAUAGGGUAUGGGAAUCCGUGUGUGCGGUUGGAAUGCG